rnacentral:rRNA from 1 species
AGCGAACGCUGGCGGCAGGCCUAACACAUGCAAGUCGAACGAACCUUUCGGGGUUAGUGGCGGACGGGUGAGUAACGCGUGGGAACGUGCCUUUAGGUUCGGAAUAACUCAGGGAAACUUGUGCUAAUACCGAAUGUGCCCUUCGGGGGAAAGAUUUAUCGCCUUUAGAGCGGCCCGCGUCUGAUUAGCUAGUUGGUUGAGGUAAUGGCUCACCAAGGCGACGAUCAGUAGCUGGUCUGAGAGGAUGAUCAGCCACAUUGGGACUGAGACACGGCCCAAACUCCUACGGGAGGCAGCAGUGGGGAAUCUUGCGCAAUGGGCGAAAGCCUGACGCAGCCAUGCCGCGUGAAUGAUGAAGGUCUUAGGAUUGUAAAAUUCUUUCACCGGGGACGAUAAUGACGGUACCCGGAGAAGAAGCCCCGGCUAACUUCGUG